AAUUUGCAAAUUUUCUAUCAAAACAAAAUACAGAUCUAUAAUUUAAAAAGUCCAAUUUUAAAAAGAAGUUUUGAAUUUUUUGAAUCUGAAUUUACAAAUACAAUAUGAUGCAUAAACUGCAUUACUCUUGCUAAAAUGAUCUCAAAUAGAAAAUUUUUGAAUCCCAGACCAAAAUACCAGAUCACGCCCGCACUCUUAAAAAAAGAAAAUUUAAAAUCCCAGACCAAAAUACCUAACCCUUACCCUUUAAAAAGAAAAUUUUGAAGCUCAGACCAAAUGGUAACUAUCUGAUUUGUAGCAGGUCAAGUUUACGGUCUUAUUUCAUACACGCCAGUGACUUACGACCUAGUCAUGCAAACAAGAGGUCGCACCCUGUCUCCAAAUCAUGUAGUACUGAUGCACAAUUUAAAUUCUGUACUGUUUUGGUUAAAUUUAAUUCAACAGGUUUUAGAGCAAUGCAGUUUUUCAUCAGUAAAUUAAAAAAAAAAUGAGAUAAAAAAUGAAAGCCCUUUUUCUCCACACUAAAAAAAAUAUAAAAGAUAUAAACUGAUUUUUGGAUUUAAAUUGAACCUUAUCAGAUUUUAACAUGAAUAAAAAUUAGAUCCCAGUGACCUUUUAAUUUCUGACUUGCAAUAAUCUAAGAGUUCAGUAUGGAAGGUUGAAUAAAUGGUUUGGCAUAAAGGAAAAGAUCAACCGAUCUGACUUAUAGUAAUAAUGUUCAGGAUAUUGUAUUUUAUAAA
rnacentral:lncRNA from 1 species